AUGCUCACUUUGCCAGCACAUAUACAAAGAUUACAAUGAUACUGAGAUUAGCAUGGUUCCUAGCAAGAAUGACAUGUAAGUUCAUAAAGUGUUCUCUCUCUCU
rnacentral:snRNA from 1 species